rnacentral:tRNA from 1 species
GGUUGUAUAGCUCAGUGCUAGAGCACUUGUCUAGCACACAUGAGGCCCUGAGUUUGAUCCCCAGCACCA